AGAGUUUGAUCCUGGCUCAGAACGAACGCUGGCGGCGCGCCUAAUACAUGCAAGUCGAGCGAGAAGACGUAGCAAUACGUUUGUAAAGCGGCGAACGGGUGAGGAAUACAUGGGUAACCUACCCUCGAGUGGGGAAUAACUAGCCGAAAGGUUAGCUAAUACCGCAUACGGCUCCUGGUCUGCGGAUCGGGAGAGAAAGCGAUACCAUGGGUAUCGCGCUCUUGGAUGGGCUCAUGUCCUAUCAGCUUGUUGGUGAGGUAAUGGCUCACCAAGGCUUCGACGGGUAGCUGGUCUGAGAGGACGAUCAGCCACACUGGCACUGCGACACGGGCCAGACUCCUACGGGAGGCAGCAGUAAGGAAUAUUGCGCAAUGGGCGACAGCCUGACGCAGCGACGCCGCGUGGGGGAUGAAGGUCUUCGGAUUGUAAACCCCUUUCGGCAGGGAAGAUGGAACGGGUAACCGUUCGGACGGUACCUGCAGAAGCAGCCACGGCUAACUUCGUGCCAGCAGCCGCGGUAAUACGAAGGUGGCAAGCGUUGUUCGGAUUUACUGGGCGUACAGGGAGCGUAGGCGGUUAGGUAAGCCCUUCGUGAAAUCUCCGGGCCUAACCCGGAAAGGGCGGAGGGGACUGCUUGGCUAGAGGAUGGGAGAGGAGCGCGGAAUUCCCGGUGUAGCGGUGAAAUGCGUAGAGAUCGGGAGGAAGGCCGGUGGCGAAGGCGGCGCUCUGGAACAUUUCUGACGCUGAGGCUCGAAAGCGUGGGGAGCAAACAGGAUUAGAUACCCUGGUAGUCG
rnacentral:rRNA from 1 species